CGGAGGGUGCAAGCGUUAUCCGGAUUCACUGGGUUUAAAGGGUGCGUAGGUGGGCAGUUAAGUCAGUGGUGAAAUCUCCGAGCUUAACUCGGAAACUGCCAUUGAUACUAUCUGUCUUGAAUUAUCUGGAGGUGAGCGGAAUAUGUCAUGUAGCGGUGAAAUGCUUAGAUAUGACAUAGAACACCAAUUGCGAAGGCAGCUCACUACGGGUAUAUUGACACUGAGGCACGAAAGCGUGGGGAUCAAACAGGAUUAGAUACCCUGGUAGUCCACGCCCUAAACGAUGGAUACUCGACAUCAGCGAUACACUGUUGGUGUCUGAGCGAAAGCAUUAAGUAUCCCACCUGGGAAGUACGAUCGCAAGAUUG
rnacentral:rRNA from 1 species